rnacentral:tRNA from 1 species
GUUUUAAUAGUUUAUUUAAAAAUAUUGAUUUUGUAAAUCAAAGAAAAAUUAAAAUUUUUAAAACU